UACGUAGGGUGCGAGCGUUGUCCGGAAUUAUUGGGCGUAAAGAGCUUGUAGGCGGUUUGUCGCGUCUGCUGUGAAAAUCCGGGGCUCAACCCCGGACUUGCAGUGGGUACGGGCAGACUAGAGUGUGGUAGGGGAGACUGGAAGUUCCUGGUGUAGCGGUGAAAUGCGCAGAUAUCAGGAGGAACACCAAUGGCGAAGGCACUCUACUGGGCCAUUACUGACACUGAGAGACGAAAGCUAGGGGAGCGAAUGGG
rnacentral:rRNA from 1 species